GGAGUUUGGGCCGUGUCUCAGUCCCAAUGUGGCCGGUCAUCCUCUCAGGUCGGCUACUGAUCGUCGCCUUGGUGAGCCGUUACCUCACCAACUAGCUAAUCAGACGCGGGUCCAUCUUGUACCGAAAAUAUUUUUCACACUGCAUCAUGCAAUGCUGUGCGCUUAUGCGGUAUUAGCAGUCGUUUCCAACUGUUGUCCCCCCUGUACAAGGUAGGUUACCCACGCGUUACUCACCCGUCCGCCACUCAGUCAACAAU
rnacentral:rRNA from 1 species